rnacentral:lncRNA from 1 species
CUUCCUCCUCGACUGCGCCUGCGCCAAGCAGGGAGAGGGGUUGCAGGCAGGAGCUUGGACAAGGGUAGAUUUCACGGAGACUUCCAGCGGCCCCGCCUCUUUCGUGUAGGGAAACCUUUCCUCCUUUUGUGUGGGGACACCUCAAACUCACUACUGAACGGAGUUCGUCAUCCACCCCUGCCUCAGAAGAUGGCAGCUCCAUCGUCCAGGUGCUGGGGCUGAAAUAAAACUCCAUCAUCCCUCAUUCUUUUCCUAUCCUGGAGUUGGACCAAAGAUUCAUUCGGGUUAUGUAAGCUCUACCACCUAAGGAGUCGUCGUGCUACCUGCUGUUUUCCCAGUCCAGGGAUGGGACUCCAGGCCUUAUACAUAGGUAGGUUCUCCACUGAGCCACGCCCCCAGCCCCUCAUUGGGGGAUUCUAGGCAGGGGCUCUACCACUGAGCCACGCCCCCAGCCCCUCAUUGGGGGAUUCUAGGCAGGGGCUCUACCACUGAGCCACGCCCCCAGCCCCUCACUGGGGGAUUCUAGGCAGGGGCUCUACCACUGAGCCACGCCCCCAGCCCCUCACUGGGGGAUUCUAGGCAGGGGCUCUACCACUGAGCCACGCCCCCAGCUCCUCACUGGGGGAUUCUAGGCAGGGGCUCUACCACUGAGCCACGCCCCCAGCCCCUCACUAGGGGAUUCUAGGCAGGGGCUCUACCACUAAGCUAUUGGCCUAGGCCUUUUUUCCUUUUUUUUUUUUUUUUUUUAAGUUUUUAAAAAUCUAUUUGUAUUUAGGGGGGUGUUCAGAUACACAUGCUGUGUUGUGCAUGUAGUGGUCACAGGACACCGUGUUUCUCUGUCCACCAUGUCAGUCCCAGCGUUUGACCUCAAAUUAUCAGGCUUGGUAGCAAGCACCUUUACCCACUAAGCCACAUCAUAGGUGUUUUUUUCCCCUCCAUUUUGGGGGAUCCUUUGUUGUUGUUUAAGACAGGGUUUUUCUGUAGCCCUGGCUGUCUUGGAACUCGCUGUGUAAACCAGAGUGCAGAGAUCCACCUGCCUCUGCCUCCCAAGUGAAGAUUAAAGGUGUUUAUGGCCACCCUUA